rnacentral:rRNA from 1 species
UACGGGGGGAGCAAGCGUUGUUCGGAUUUACUGGGCGUAAAGGGCGCGUAGGCGGUCGUGACAAGUCACUUGUGAAAUCUCCGGGCUUAACUCGGAACGGUCAAGUGAUACUGUCGGACUAGAGUACAGAAGGGGCAACUGGAAUUCUCGGUGUAGCGGUGAAAUGCGUAGAUAUCGAGAGGAACACCUGUGGCGAAGGCGACUACCUGGCCUGUUCUUGACGCUGAGGCGCGAAAGCUAGGGGAGCAAACGGG